AACGCACAUUGCACCUUUUGGUACUCCUUAAGGUAUAUCUGUUCGAGCGCCGUUUUAAUCUUAAGACAUUGUCUUGUGUUGAUAAGACCAGUAAAUGGUUUAUCGAAAAAGAUCGGCGUUAGCUUUUGCCCGAAUCACAGCAAAAUGUGUGGAGGGUAUUGAGUGUGACAGCCAAAUAAAAUAUCUAAAACAUGGCCUCGGAUCAGGUAGGGAUACCCGCUGAACUUAA
rnacentral:misc_RNA from 1 species